rnacentral:rRNA from 1 species
GAUGAACGCUGGCGGCGUGCUUAACACAUGCAAGUCGAACGAAAAGGCCCUGCUUUUGUGGGGCGCUCGUGAGGCGAACGGGUGAGUAACACGUGAGUAUCCUGCCCUUGUCUUUGGGAUAACUUCUGGAAACUGGGGCUAAUACCGGAUAGGAGCUCCUGCUGCAUAGUGGGGGAUGGUAAGAUUCGGCGGUUGGGGAUGGACUGGCGGCUUAUCAGCUUGUUGGUGGGGUAGUGGCUUACCAAGGCUUUGACGGGUAGCCGGCCUGAGAGGGGGACCGGCGUCAAGAGGACUGAGAUACGGCCCAGACUCCAAUGGGACGCAGCGGUGGGGAAUAUUGCAGAGUAGGCGGGAGCCUGAGACGACGACGCCGCGUGCGGGAUGACGGGCUUCGGGUUGUAAACCGAUGUCGCCGGAGACGAAGCGUGAGUGACGGUAAUGGGUAAAGAAGCACCGGCUAACUACGUG